rnacentral:rRNA from 1 species
UACGAGGGGGGCAAGCGUUGUUCGGAAUUAUUGGGCGUAAAGGGUGCGUAGGCGGUUUGGUAAGUCUUAUGUGAAAGCCCCCGGCUCAACUGGGGAGGGUCAUCGGUAACGGUCGUGCUAUGAGUGCAGGAGAGGGAAGUGGAACUCCGGGAGUAGCGGUGAAAUGCGUAGAGACCCGGAGGAACACCAGUGGCGAAGGCGGUGGGCUGGGCCGGCACUGACGCUGAGGAGCGAAAGCGUGGGGAGCGAACAGG